ACCUAGAGUAUGGGAGGGGGAGAUGGAAUUAGUGGUGUAGGGGUAAAAUCCGUAGAUAUCACUAGGAAUACCUAAAGCGAAGGCGAUCUCCUGGAACAUUACUGACGCUAAGGUGUGAAAGCGUGGGGAGCAAACGGGAUUAGAUACCCCGGUAGUCCACGCCCUAAACGAUGUUCACUAGUCGUCGGGAUGCUAGUCAUCUCGGUGAUGCACUUAACAGAUUAAGUGAACCGCCUGGGGAGUACGGUCGCAAGAUUAAAACUCAAAGGAAUAGACGGGGACCCGCACAAGUGGUGGAGCAUGUGGUUUAAUUCGAAGAUACGCGAAGAACCUUACCUAGCCUUGACAUUGAUUGAAUUUUCCAGAGAUGGAGAAGUGCCUUUCGGGGAACAUGAAAACAGGUGCUGCACGGCUGUCGUCAGCUCGUGUCGUGAGAUGUUGGGUUAAGUCCCGCAACGAGCGCAACCCUCGUCCUUAGUUGCCAGCAGGUUAAGCUGGGCACUUUAAGGAGACUGCCUUCGCAAGAAGGAGGAAGGUGAGGACGACGUCAAGUCAUCAUGGCCCUUAUGGCUAGGGCUACACACGUGCUACAAUGGGGCGUACAGAGAGUUGCGAUACCGCGAGGUGGAGCCAAUCUCAUAAAGCGUCUCUCAGUUCGGAUAGCAGUCUGCAACUCGACUGCUUGAAGCUGGAAUCACUAGUAAUCGUAGAUCAGCAAUGCUACGGUGAAUACGUUCCCGGGUCUUGUACUCACCGCCCGUCACACCAUGGGAGUUGAUUUCACCCGAAAUUGGGAAGCUAACCUUCGGGAGGCUACCACUUACGGUGGAAUUAGCGACUGGGGUGAAGUCGUAACAAGGUAAC
rnacentral:rRNA from 1 species